GUGUUAAUAAAGUGCUCCAUAUAGUUAUUGUUAAAUCCUGCUAAAUGGGUCAAGACUUUUAUUUUGGAAUUAUUCUGUACAGUAGUUGCAUUGUGGGUGUCCUGCAGCAGAAGAGAAGUUAACUGCUGCAGGCGGACCAGAUCUCACUGUCUUCCCUCAUGUUAUAUUUCCUGACCCAUGCAGGUAACCGAUUGUAUUUGUUGUUUUGAUUUUAUGUUUCGUGAAUGUUUUAUGUUUCACUCGUAGCAUGGCUAGCAUUCGCGAGCUAGAAUGACUAGCCAUUAACGUCUUUGUAGCGUUCUAAAUGCAGUACCGCUGUAUCACCACAAGAGUGGAGUGUUUACCUUUUUAUGAGCGCUGUUUUGCGUGUUUACUAAUGAAAAUAGAUGAAGUAGUGUUUGUAUUUGUAUGUGGUAUAUCGAAUUCACUCUCUGAUUGAAUGUUUGCAUAUUCUACUGUUUAUAUUUAUUUUAUCAUACUGGAUGAUCACCCCCAUGUAAGAAUAUAAUUAGAUCUAAUUAGAAAUAUAACAGAUUUCAACAGAUUAGAUAUAUAAGUAGUUUACUCAUACAGUUACAUACAUUUACACAUUCACACUCAUGUUUUUAUGCCACAUUAUUCCCUUUUGGAAUUUAUUUUGUAUUAUUUUAUUGACACACCUCACCUCAUACUGGACCUGAAAUGAAAUAACCAUAUGCUUAGAUACUUAGUGUAGUAGCCUAAUAGAAUUGUGUCUGAGAGCAGAAGAGAAGUUAACUGCUGCAGGCGGACCAGAUCUCACUGUCUUCCCUCAUGUUAUAUUUCCUGACCCAUGCAGACCAAUAAACCUGCUUCAUCUACCA